CGACCCCGUGUCGUGCGGAUUACCCACCGAGUUUAAGCAUAUCAAUAAGCGGAGGAAAAGAAACUUACCAGAAUCCGCUAAUAACGGCGAGCGAACCGUGAAAAGCCCAGCUUGAGAAUCAGUCACCAUCGGCGUCCGAAUUGUAGUCUAGAGAAGCGUCCUCAGCGGCGGACCGGGCCUAAUUCCCCUGGAAAGGGACGCCGGAGAGGGUGAGAGCCCCGUUAGGCCCGGAACCUGUCGCACCAAGAUGCACUGUCUACUAGUCGGGUUGUUUGGGAAUGCAGCCCUAAUCGGGCGGUAAAUUCGGCCAAGGCUAAAUCUGAGGCGAGACCGAUAGCGAACAAAUACCGCGAGGGAAAGAUGAAAAGGACUUUGAAAAGAGAGUCAAAGAGUGCUUGAAAUUGUCGGGAGGGAAGCGGAUGGGGCCAACAAUGCGCCUCGGUCGGAUGUGAAAUGGCGAGCCGAUCCAUGAAUCGGCUCGGGCGUGGACCGACGCGGGUCGUGGCGGCGCCCAAGCCGGGCAUUCGAUCGCCCGUGGAGAGGUCGUCACCACGAUCGUGGGACUCGGACGCACCGUCUCGGCGUGCUUGGCACUGCAUGCUCAGGCGUCGGCUGCGGGCUCCCAUUCGGCCCGUCUUGAAACACGACCAAGGAGUCUCGAUGUGUGCGAGUCAAUGGGCUCGAAAACCCGUAAGGCGCAAGGAAACUGAUUGGCGGGAUCCCAGCGGGUGCACCGCCGACCGACCUUGAUCUUCGAGAAGGGUUCGGUGAGAGCAUGCCACGGGACCCAAAGAUGGUGAACUAUGCUGGAAGGGCGAAGCGAGAGAAACUCGGUGGAGGCUCGCAGUGAUACUUGACGUGCAAAUCGCUCAUCGACUUGGGUAUAGGGACGAAAGACUAAUCGAACCGCCUAGUAGCUGGUUCCUCCGAAGUUUCCCUCGGGAUAGCUGGAGCCCUUAGCGAAGUUCUAUCGGGUAAAGCCAAUGAUUAGAGGCAUUGGGGCUGGCGCCUCGACCUAUUCUCAAACUUUAAAUAGGUCGGACGCAAGCAAGGCUGCGCGUGAGCCGCCGCCACAGGAUCGAGAGCUCAAGUGGGCCAUUUUGGUAAGCAAAGCGGCAAUGCGAGAUGAACCGAAAGCGGAUACUGUGCCCAAUAGCAGCUAACCUAGAACCCACAAAGGGUGUUGGUCGAUUAACACAAGCAGACGGUGGUCAUGGAAGUCGAAAUCCGCUAAGGUGUGUAACAACUCACUGCCGAAUCAACUAGCCCCAAAAAUAGAUGGCGCUUAAGCACGCGACCUAUACCCGGUCGUCGGGCAAAGGCCGAGCCCGAUGAGUAGGAGAACGCGUCGGUCGCCGAAACCCGGCCGUCGGUCAGAUCUUGGUGGUAGUAGCAAAUAUUCAAAUGAGAACUUUGAAGGUCAAGAGGGAAAGGUUCCAUGUGAACGGAACUUACACAUGGGUUAGUCGAUCCUAAGAGGCGGGGGCCCGUCCGAUAGCACGCCCAACGAGCUUCGAAAGGAAUCGGGUUAAAAUUCCUAAACCAGGAACCAUCGGCUGACGGCAACGUUAGGGAGUCAGAGACAUCGGCGGGGCCUCGGGAAGAGUUAUCUUUUACGCUUAACUUCCUCCCCACCGAAACGACUCACCGAAGAGGACCGCACGUCAUGUGGUGUCUGUGCGCCCGGUGGCCCUUGAAAAUAUAGAGGACCGAGAGCCGUCUGCGCCAACGUACUCAUAACCGCAUCAGUCUCCAAGGUGAACAGACCUGCUCAAUGGAACAAUGUAGGCAAGGGAAGUCGGCAAAAUGGAUCCGUAACCUCGGGAAAAGGAUUGGCUCGAGGGUCGGGAGCACGGGGUCCCGAUCCCCAACCCGUCAUUGCCGGCAGCCUUGCUCGAGCUGUUCUCGAGGCGAGAGCAGGUUGCCGCGUCUUCGGCCGAAGUACUGGUGAGAACGGCUCCUUCAGGGGGCCUUCCGGGCGACGAACGAAUGACUUCGAACCGGUACGUAUAAGGGAAUCCAUCAUUUAAUUAAAACAAAGCAUUGCGAUGGUCCUGCGGAUGCUCACGUAAUGUGAUUUACGCCAAAGCUCAAUGUCAAAGUGAAGAAAUUCAACCAAGCGCGGUAAACGGCGGAGUAACUAUGACUCUCUUAAGGUAGCCAAAUACCUCGUCACCUAAUUAGUGACGCGCAUGAAUGGAUUAACGAGAUUCCCACCGUCCUAUCUACUAUCCAAAUAAACCACGCCCAAGGGAGCGGACUUGGCGAAAUCAAUGAGGAAAGAAGACCUGUUGAGCUUGACUCUAGUCCGACUUUGUGAAAUGACUUGAGAGGUGUAGGAUAAGUGGGAGCUUUGGUAAAUUUAAAUACCACUACUUUUAUCGUUAUUUUACUUAUUCUCAGUGAAUCUGAGAUGGGCACGGCCCUCUUUUUGGACCCAAGGUCGGCUUCGACCUUCCGAUCCGGCGGAAGACAUUGUCGGUGGGGAGUUUGGUAAGGCGACACAUCCGUUAAAAGAUAACACAGUGUCCUAAGAUGAGCUCAACGAGCAAAAUCUCGUAUGGAACAAAAGGGUAAAAGCUCGUUUGAUUCUCGAUUUCCAGAUCUGAAUCUGAACCGUGAAAGCAUGGCCUAUCGAUCCUUUAGGCCUUGAAAUUUAAAGCUAGAGGUGUCGGAAAAGUUACCACGAGGAUAAGCGGCUUGUGGCGACCAAGCAUUCAUAGCGACGUUGCUUUUUGAUCCUUCGAUGUCGGCUUCUUCCUAUCAUUGUGAAGCGAAAUUCACCAAGUGUUAGAUUAUUCACCCACCAAUAGGGAAUGUGAGCUGGGUUUAGACCGUCGUGAGACAGGUUAGUUUUAUCUUACUGAUGGUCACGUCGCAAUAGUAAUUCAACCUAGUACGAGAGGAACCAUUGAUUCACACAAUUGGCCAUCGUGCUUGGUUGAAAAGCCGAUGGCACGGCUACCGUCUUAUUGGAUUAUGACCGAACGCCUCUAAGUUAGAAUCCGGGCUAGAAGUGACGUCUGCGCCCAUCGCCUGACAUUGACCCGAUGAGGGCCUCUGGCCCCGAGGGCACGCGGUCGUGUAUGUGCGCACCAUUGCGGACAAGUCGGCGCCUCCACAGAGCGUAAUUCCCACCGAAGCGGGUAGAAUCCUUUGCAGACGACUUAAAUAUGCGACGGGGUAUUGUAAGUGGCAGAGUGGCUUUGUUGCCACGAUCCACUGAGAUUCAGCCCUUUGUCGCUUCGAUUCGU